rnacentral:rRNA from 1 species
UACGUAGGUGGCAAGCGUUAUCCGGAAUUAUUGGGCGUAAAGCGCGCGUAGGCGGCCUCAUAAGUCCGUUGUGAAAGUCAAAGGCUCAACCUUUGAAAGCCGAUGGAUACUGUGAGGCUAGAGUCCGGAAGAGGCGAGUGGAAUUCCUGGUGUAGCGGUGGAAUGCGCAGAUAUCAGGAGGAACACCAAUAGCGAAGGCAGCUCGCUGGGACGGUACUGACGCUAAGGCGCGAAGGCGUGGGGAGCGAACGGG